rnacentral:rRNA from 1 species
AGAUUAAGUUAUUAAGGGCGCACGGUGGAUGCCUUGGCACUAGAAGCCGAAGAAGGACGUUACUAACGACGAUAUGCUUUGGGGAGCUGUAAGUAAGCGUUGAUCCAGAGAUUUCCGAAUGGGGAAACCCAACAUGAGUUAUGUCAUGUUAUCGAUAUGUGAAUACAUAGCAUAUCAGAAGGCAGACCCGGAGAACUGAAACAUCUUAGUACCCGGAGGAAGAGAAAGAAAAAUCGAUUCCCUGAGUAGCGGCGAGCGAAACGGGAAGAGCCCAAACCAACAAGCUUGCUUGUUGGGGUUGUAGGACACUCUAUACGGAGUUACAAAAGUAUAUAUUAGACGAAUCAUCUGGAAAGUUGAAUCAAAGAAGGUAAUAAUCCUGUAGUCGAAAAUAUAUACUCUCUUGAGUGGAUCCUGAGUACGACGGAGCACGUGAAAUUCCGUCGGAAUCUGGGAGGACCAUCUCCUAAGGCUAAAUACUCUCUAGUGACCGAUAGUGAACCAGUACCGUGAGGGAAAGGUGAAAAGUACCCCGGAAGGGGAGUGAAAGAGAACUUGAAACCGUGUGCUUACAAGUAGUCAGAGCCCGUUAAUGGGUGAUGGCGUGCCUUUUGUAGAAUGAACCGGCGAGUUACGAUUUGAUGCAAGGUUAAGCAGUGAAUGUGGAGCCGUAGCGAAAGCGAGUCUGAAUAGGGCGUUGAGUAUUUGGUCGUAGACCCGAAACCAGGUGAUCUACCCUUGGUCAGGUUGAAGUUCAGGUAACACUGAAUGGAGGACCGAACCGACUUACGUUGAAAAGUGAGCGGAUGAACUGAGGGUAGCGGAGAAAUUCCAAUCGAACCUGGAGAUAGCUGGUUCUCUCCGAAAUAGCUUUAGGGCUAGCCUCAAGUGAUGAUUAUUGGAGGUAGAGCACUGUUUGGACGAGGGGCCCUUCUCGGGUUACCGAAUUCAGACAAACUCCGAAUGCCAAUCAAUUUAACUUGGGAGUCAGAACAUGGGUGAUAAGGUCCGUGUUCGAAAGGGAAACAGCCCAGACCACCAGCUAAGGUCCCAAAAUAUAUGUUAAGUGGAAAAGGAUGUGGCGUUGCCCAGACAACUAGGAUGUUGGCUUAGAAGCAGCCAUCAUUUAAAGAGUGCGUAAUAGCUCACUAGUCGAGUGACACUGCGCCGAAAAUGUACCGGGGCUAAACAUAUUACCGAAGCUGUGGAUUGUCCGUAGGACAAUGGUAGGAGAGCGUUCUAAGGGCGUUGAAGCAUGAUCGCAAGGACAUGUGGAGCGCUUAGAAGUGAGAAUGCCGGUGUGAGUAGCGAAAGACGGGUGAGAAUCCCGUCCACCGAUUGACUAAGGUUUCCAGAGGAAGGCUCGUCCGCUCUGGGUUAGUCGGGUCCUAAGCUGAGGCCGACAGGCGUAGGCGAUGGAUAACAGGUUGAUAUUCCUGUACCACCUAGUAUCGUUUUAAUCGAUGGGGGGACGCAGUAGGAUAGGCGAAGCGUGCUAUUGGAUUGCACGUCCAAGCAGUAAGAUUGAGUGUUAGGCAAAUCCGGCACUCAUAAGGUCAAGCUGUGAUGGGGAGAGGAAAUUGUUUCCUCGAGUCGUUGAUUUCACACUGCCAAGAAAAGCCUCUAGAUAGAUAACAGGUGCCCGUACCGCAAACCGACACAGGUAGUCAAGAUGAGAAUUCUAAGGUGAGUGAGCGAACUCUCGUUAAGGAACUCGGCAAAAUGACCCCGUAACUUCGGGAGAAGGGGUGCUCUUUAGGGUUAACGCCCAGAAGAGCCGCAGUGAAUAGGCCCAAGCGACUGUUUAUCAAAAACACAGGUCUCUGCUAAACCGUAAGGUGAUGUAUAGGGGCUGACGCCUGCCCGGUGCUGGAAGGUUAAGAGGAGUAGUUAGCUUCUGCGAAGCUACGAAUCGAAGCCCCAGUAAACGGCGGCCGUAACUAUAACGGUCCUAAGGUAGCGAAAUUCCUUGUCGGGUAAGUUCCGACCCGCACGAAAGGCGUAACGAUUUGGGCACUGUCUCAACGAGAGACUCGGUGAAAUCAUAGUACCUGUGAAGAUGCAGGUUACCCGCGACAGGACGGAAAGACCCCGUGGAGCUUUACUGUAGCCUGAUAUUGAAAUUCGGCACAGCUUGUACAGGAUAGGUAGGAGCCUUUGAAACGUGAGCGCUAGCUUACGUGGAGGCAUUGGUGGGAUACUACCCUAGCUGUGUUGGCUUUCUAACCCGCACCACUUAUCGUGGUGGGAGACAGUGUCAGGUGGGCAGUUUGACUGGGGCGGUCGCCUCCUAAAAGGUAACGGAGGCGCUCAAAGGUUCCCUCAGAAUGGUUGGAAAUCAUUCAUAGAGUGUAAAGGCAUAAGGGAGCUUGACUGCGAGACUUACAAGUCGAGCAGGGUCGAAAGACGGACUUAGUGAUCCGGUGGUUCCGCAUGGAAGGGCCAUCGCUCAACGGAUAAAAGCUACCCCGGGGAUAACAGGCUUAUCUCCCCCAAGAGUUCACAUCGACGGGGAGGUUUGGCACCUCGAUGUCGGCUCAUCGCAUCCUGGGGCUGUAGUCGGUCCCAAGGGUUGGGCUGUUCGCCCAUUAAAGCGGUACGCGAGCUGGGUUCAGAACGUCGUGAGACAGUUCGGUCCCUAUCCGUCGUGGGCGUAGGAAAUUUGAGAGGAGCUGUCCUUAGUACGAGAGGACCGGGAUGGACAUACCUCUGGUGUACCAGUUGUCGUGCCAACGGCAUAGCUGGGUAGCUAUGUAUGGACGGGAUAAGUGCUGAAAGCAUCUAAGCAUGAAGCCCCCCUCAAGAUGAGAUUUCCCAACUUCGGUUAUAAGAUCCCUCAAAGAUGAUGAGGUUAAUAGGUUCGAGGUGGAAGCGUGGUGACACGUGGAGCUGACGAAUACUAAUCGAUCGAAGACUUAAUCAAUUU